GGAGGGAGCUAGCGUUGUUCGGAAUUACUGGGCGUAAAGCGCACGUAGGCGGCUAUUCAAGUCAGAGGUGAAAGCCCGGGGCUCAACCCCGGAACUGCCUUUGAAACUAGAUAGCUUGAAUCCAGGAGAGGUGAGUGGAAUUCCGAGUGUAGAGGUGAAAUUCGUAGAUAUUCGGAAGAACACCAGUGGCGAAGGCGGCUCACUGGACUGGUAUUGACGCUGAGGUGCGAAAGCGUGGGGAGCAAACAGGGAUUAGAUACCCUGGUAGUCCACGCCGUAAACGAUGAUAACUAGCUGUCAGGGCACAUGGUGUUUUGGUGGCGCAGCUAACGCAUUAAGUUAUCCGCCUGGGAGUACGGUCGCAAGAUUA
rnacentral:rRNA from 1 species